UACGGGGGGGGCAAGCGUUGUUCGGAAUUACUGGGCGUAAAGGGCUCGUAGGCGGCCAACUAAGUCGGAUGUGAAAUCCCCAGGCUUAACCUGGGAACUGCAUCCGAUACUGGAUGGCUUGAAUCCGGGAGAGGGAUGCAGAAUUCCAGGUGUAGCGGUGAAAUGCGUAGAUAUCUGGAGGAAUACCGGUGGCGAAGGCGGCAUCCUGGACCGGCAUUGACGCUGAGGAGCGAAAAGCUAGGGGAGCAAACGGG
rnacentral:rRNA from 1 species